CCGCCGGAGAUGACAUAAAAAAAUCCGCACAAGAUGCAAAUGAGAAGUCAAAGGACGCUGCGGGUUCAGUCAUUGAUAAAGCAACAGAAGGAACAAAUAAGGCUGUAGAGGCAGCAGAGAGUGCCCAAGAGAAGUCGAAUGAGACGGCUGAGGCUCUGAAGAAUGCAGCAGAGAAGGCAAAGGAGCAAGCGGGAGGAGCGUGGGAGGCGGCCAAGGAAGAGACACAGAAGAUUGCGGAAACAGUGGUUGGAAAGGAAGAUUGAUUAAGGCUUUAAUAUAUCUUGUUUAUGUAUGUUUAUGUCUCAACUCUACCCUGCCUCAAAUGAUAAUUGAUAAUAUAAUUAGAGUUUAAUGGAAAUGCAUUGACGGUGUAAAAUAGUUUUACACUAUCUUUUAUCAUGUCAUAUUAAGAAAGUAUGAUGACGUGAUAGAAAACAUGGUUGAUAUUGUCCGUGCAUAUAUUCAUUUUUUCUUUUCUUUUCAUAUAAUUACGAUAUCAUCAUAUAUGUUUACCAUAUUUUGGAUAUAAUUUUUUCGUUAGAUGGAGAGCUAUUUUAAUUUGGUUUAUAUACUCAUCAAAUUCAUGAACACAUAAUAGUAUUGGAGAUGAACAAUCAUUUCAACCAAAUUCAAUUUGGUUAACAUAGCAUUGAAGUACUUUAUAACUUAAUAAUGGGUGCUAAUGCCUAUGAUAUUACUCAUUCAAGCGGGGUAGAGUUGAGAAUAAGGAUCAUUAGGAACCGGUUCGAGGGCUAAUGGAUUCAAACAAAGGUUUUAGACUUCAAAAAUUUUGGCUGAAAAUAAGUCUCAAAUUUUUUUUCAUUUGGUU
rnacentral:lncRNA from 1 species